rnacentral:rRNA from 1 species
CACGUAGGGCGCAAGCGUUGUCCGGAAUUAUUGGGCGUAAAGAGCUCGUAGGCGGUCUGUUGCGUCCGCUGUGAAAACUCGGGGCUUAACCCCGAGCCUGCAGUGGAUACGGGCAGACUAGAGGUAGGUAGGGGAGAAUGGAAUUCCCGGUGUAGCGGUGAAAUGCGCAGAUAUCGGGGAGGAACACCGGUGGCGAAGGCGGUUCUCUGGGCCUUACCUGACGCUGAGGUGCGAAAGCGUGGGGAGCAAACAGG